UGGGGAAUAUUGCACAAUGGGCGCAAGCCUGAUGCAGCCAUGCCGCGUGUAUGAAGAAGGCCUUCGGGUUGUAAAGUACUUUCAGCGGGGAGGAAGGGAGUAAAGUUAAUACCUUUGCUCAUUGACGUUACCCGCAGAAGAAGCACCGGCUAACUCCGUGCCAGCAGCCGCUGUAAUACGGAGGGUGCAAGCGUUAAUCGGAAUUACUGGGCGUAAAGCGCACGCAGGCGGUUGAUUGAGUCAGAUGUGAAAGCCCCGGGCUUAACCCGGGAAAUGAGUCUUGUACUGGUCAGAUAUAGUAGUGUAGAGGGGGGUAGAAUUCCAUGUGUAGGGGUGGAAUGCGUAGAGAAGGGGAGGAAAACUGGUGGAGAAGGCGGCCCCCUGGACAAAAACUGACGCUCAGGUGCGAAAGCGUGGGGAGCAAACAGG
rnacentral:rRNA from 1 species